rnacentral:rRNA from 1 species
UACGGAAGGGGCGAGCGCUGUUCGGAAUCACUGGGCGUAAAGCGCGCGUAGGCGGCCAUGCAAGUGCGGCGUGAAAGUCCUGGGCUCAACCUGGGGACGGCGCUGCGGACUGCAUGGCUGGAGUCCGGAAGAGGGUGGUGGAAUUCCGAGUGUAGAGGUGAAAUUCGUAGAUAUCUGGAGGAACACCGGUGGCGAAGGCGGCAUCCUGGACCAACACUGACGCUGAUGAGCGAAAGCCAGGGGAGCAAACGGG